rnacentral:lncRNA from 1 species
AAGAAAAAAAACAUACCAAGGAGUAUUAUAAAAGAAUUUCAGGAUUCCCUAGUGUGAUAGGUGCAAUAGAUGGAACACAUAUUAAAAUUGAUAAGCCAAAAGAAAGAGAGACCGAUUAUUGCAACAGAAAAGAUUAUUUUUCUAUUAUAUUGCAAGGAACAUGCAAUGAAAAAAAAAUUUAUAGACAUAUUUAUUGGAUAUCCAGGAUCUAUUCAUGAUGCACGUGUCUUCCAAAACUCUUCAUUGUAUAAUUUUUUAUAUAGUGAUGAUGAAGGCAAUUAUUUAGAUUAUUUAACAAUAGCUAUAUAUUAGGAGAUAGUGCAUAUCCAUUAUCAGAACGUGUAAUGGUGCCAUAUAAAGAUAAUGGACAUCUAACAUCGGCACAGAAACACUUCAAUAGAAAACACAGCCAAUGCCGUGUAUCUAUUGAACACACGUUCGGAUUGUUGAAACAAAGAUGCCGGCAGUUGUAUCACCUGAAGCUUCGUGGCCCAGAAAGAAUUUGUCAUUUCAUUCGUGCAUGUUGUGUUUUACACAAUUUGGCCGAUGAAGAAAACAUAAAUGUUUUACAACAUGAUUCAGUGGAUGAUGUGCAACCAGCAACGCAGGACGAAAAAGAGAACAGAAAUAGAGGAACAGUGUUAAGAAACGAAAUUUGUAAUUAUUUAUUUAUGAAUAGAUAAAAAAUUCAAUCUCA